rnacentral:tRNA from 1 species
GAAAAAUUAGUUAAUACAUAACAUAAAAUUGUCAAUUUUAAAUUACUAAUUGUUAGUAUUUUUCU